AAAGAAAAACAACUCUCCACAAACCCUAACUGAAGCAACGCCGACUCCUCUCCUCAUCGCUUCCUUCUCCUCCCUAUCCGAAUCCCCUCCUCUCUCGUCGAAGUUCGUCGCUAAGCAGAGCCGCCCUCCUCUCCUCGUCGUGAAGCAGAGUCGCCUCCCUCUCGCCGAAGCUCGUCGCGAAGCAGAGCCGCCCUCCUCCUCGUCGCGAAGCAGAGCUGCUUCGCCCUCCUCUCCUCGUCACGAAGCAGAGCCGCCUCCCUCUCUCGCCGAAGCUCGUCGCAAAGCAGAGCCGCCCUCCUCUCCUCGUCGCGUUCCUCUCUCGCCGCGAGACCCCUCUCUCGCCCGCGAGACCCCUCGUCACGUUCUCUCGUAGCUGAUCUUGGGCAUUUCUCUCCGCCGAACUAGGUGGCCUCUACUUCAGUGGCUCUGCAGGAUAUCAGUUUCUUACCGGAGAGUCAAAGAGCAAUCGUCCCAAGGCUGAACAAGAAGCAGCAUUUCAGUGGAAGCAUGAUUGAAACAAACAAGUUCAAAGAGAGGCGACUGGAAGGAGUUCCUAAGUUGAAGCGAUCAUCUUCCUUCAAUGAGGAUAGGAGCUAAGAUAUGCCUUGUUCAAUAAGGGAGAGUGAAAAGAUUGGGGAUUCAUCUCAACCGAAGUAUCCCUCCGGGGCUUCCAAAAACAUAUCCGACAUGAACUCCAUGUCUGAUGAUAAUGCAACAAAGAUAUCCCCCGUUUCAGAUGCAAGAAAGUCCUCUGCAUGGAUGGACAUUCCUAGGUCUUCGCCUCUCCGUUCGUCAACUGAUGGAAGUAAAAGAUCAAGAGAGUGUGACCCAGUUAAGGGCUCAUCCAUUGGGUUAAAAUCUUUCCAAGAAUUCAAAGAGAAGGUGAUCAGGAUCGAAGCAAGCUUACUUCUGGAGCUAGGGUUAUAAUAGUAUCUAGAUCUGAUGAUAAUGAAGAUUUUUGACUUCCGAAUUCCAACAAAUAUAUGCAUUAUCUCUCUCAGUUCGCAAUCGUGGAGCAUUGAAGUUCUUGCAAGUGCCAUUGGUUCGACACGUCGUUCCUUAACUUAUUUGAGCUAUUUCAGAAGCAUUGAUUUGUUUUCUUCUACCAACCAUUGUUGUAUUCUUCUAAUUUCCUCGAAGAUAAACUAAAUUUUCGCUUCA